UACAGAGGGUGCAAGCGUUGUUCGGAAUUAUUGGGCGUAAAGGGCGCGUAGGCGGCUGUACAAGUCAAAGGUGAAAUCCCUCGGCUCAACUGAGGAACUGCCUUUGAAACUGUACGGCUUGAGGCCGGGAGGGGGUAGCGGAAUUCCCAGUGCAGCGGUGAAAUGCGUAGAUACUGGGAGGAACACCAGUGGCGAAGGCGGCUACCUGGACCGGUUCUGACGCUGAGGCGCGAAAGCGUGGGUAGCAAACAGG
rnacentral:rRNA from 1 species